rnacentral:rRNA from 1 species
UACAGAGGGGGCUAGCGUUGUUCGGAAUUACUGGGCGUAAAGGGCGCGUAGGUGGCCUGUUAAGUCGAACGUGAAAUCCCCGGGCUCAACCCGGGAACUGCGUCCGAGACUGGCAGGCUCGAAUCCGGGAGAGGGAUGUGGAAUUCCAGGUGUAGCGGUGAAAUGCGUAGAUAUCUGGAGGAACACCGGUGGCGAAGGCGGCAUCCUGGACCGGUAUUGACGCUGAGGCGCGAAAGCCAAGGGAGCAAACGGG